UAAGGAAUAUUGGACAAUGGGGGCAACCCUGAUCCAGCCAUGCCGCGUGAGUGAAGAAGGCCUUAGGGUUGUAAAACUCUUUCAAUCGUGAAGAUAAUGACUGUAGCGAUAUAAGAAGCCCCGGCUAACUCCGUGCCAGCAGCCGCGGUAAUACGGAGGGGGCGAGCGUUAUUCGGAAUCACUGGGCGUAAAGCGUACGUAGGCGGCUUAGCAAGUCAGGAGUGAAAUCCCCGGGCUCAACCCGGGAAUUGCUUUUGAAACUGCUUUGCUGGAAUAUCGGAGAGGUCAGGAGAAUUCCUAGUGUAGAGGUAAAAUUCGUAGAUAUUAGGAGGAAUACCAGUGGCGUAGGCGCCUGACUGGACGAUUAUUGACGCUGAGGUACGAAAGCGUGGGGAGCAAA
rnacentral:rRNA from 1 species